GACGAACGCUGGCGGCGUGCUUAACACAUGCAAGUCGAACGGAAAGGCCCUGCUUGCAGGGUGCUCGAGUGGCGAACGGGUGAGUAACACGUGGGUGAUCUGCCCCUUAUUUUGGGAUAAGCCUGGGAAACUGGGUCUAAUACUGGAUAGGACCAUGCUGUAGGUGGUGUGGUGGAAAGAUUAGUUUCGGUAAGGGAUGAGCUCGCGGCCUAUCAGCUUGUUGGUGGGGUAAUGGCCUACCAAGGCGUCGACGGGUAGCCGGCCUGAGAGGGUGGACGGCCACAUUGGGACUGAGAUGCGGCCCAGACUCCGACGGGAGGCAGCAGGGGGGAAUAUUGCACAAUGGGCGCAAGCCUGAGGCAGCGACGCCGCGUGGGGGAUGACGGCCUUCGGGUUGUAAACUCCUUUCAGCCAUGACGAAGCCCUUGUGGUGACGGUAGUGGUAGAAGAAGCACCGGCUAACUACGU
rnacentral:rRNA from 1 species